rnacentral:rRNA from 1 species
UACGGGGGGGGCAAGCGUUGUUCGGAAUUACUGGGCGUAAAGGGCUUGUAGGUGGCCAACUAAGUCAAACGUGAAAUCCCUCGGCUUAACCGGGGAACUGCGUCUGAUACUGGAUGGCUUGAGUUUGGGAGAGGGACGCGGAAUUCCAGGUGUAGCGGUGAAAUGCGUAGAUAUCUGGAGGAACACCGGUGGCGAAGGCGGGUCUCUGGGCAGUAACUGACGCUGAGGAGCGAAAGCGUGGGGAGCGAACAGG